rnacentral:rRNA from 1 species
AGUGAACGCUAGCGGUGCGCCUAACACAUGCAAGUCGAGGGGCAGCAUAGAGUAGCAAUACUUUGAUGGCGACCGGCGCACGGGUGAGUAACACGUAUGCAACCUACCUACAUCAGGGGAAUAACCCGGAGAAAUUCGGACUAAUACCGCAUAAUACAGGGAUGCCGCAUGGCAAUAUUUGUUAAAGAUUUAUCGGAUGUAGAUGGGCAUGCGUUCCAUUAGCUAGUUGGUGAGGUAACGGCUCACCAAGGCAACGAUGGAUAGGGGAACUGAGAGGUUUGUCCCCCACACUGGAACUGAGACACGGACCAGACUCCUACGGGAGGCAGCAGUGAGGAAUAUUGGUCAAUGGACGAGAGUCUGAACCAGCCAAAUCGCGUGAAGGAAGACUGCCCUACGGGUUGUAAACUUCUUUUGUACAGGAAUAAAAGAAUCUACGUGUAGAUUAUUGCAUGUACUGUACGAAUAAGCAUCGGCUAACUCCGUGCCAGCAGCCGCCGUAA